UCUAGGUUAAUCGUGACCCCCUCCACCUCCAUUCAACAACCUUGCGUGCAGCACCUCCUCCGUGACGGCACCCCCACCUUCAUUCGACAACCUGGGCAGCACCCCAAGAUAGUAGCCCAGCCGCUGUUCGACCCCAGGAUAGCAACCCCGCUAUUGUUCGAGAUCCACAACAGCUCGUGUGACUGGAGUCAACCUCUCUUCUCCGGCGACUGGUUUCCUCCUUCUCAGGCGACAACACCUCAGGUGCACGACAGAUUCCCCAGGGAUUGAAGAUUCAGAAUGUUGAAUUCGAUCUUUUGUAGAGUUUUGUUUUGUUAAAUCUUACCUUGAUUUGUUUAUAAAACUAUAGAAAUUGUCUUGUAUUGUAGAAGAGCUACUAUUGGUUUGAUUGUAACGUGGGGUUAAAACAUUCUUAUAAGAUCACUUUCAUUGAUAAUUGGGGUUUUGGUUUUAUUAGAAUUCACCUAUGAUUUCCUAACUGGGCAUGGUUGUGAUGGUAAUUAUGCCUAACUGGCACUGCAGAUGAUGUCUAAUCUAGAGUUAUUGAAGAUGGCCUCUGAAGGCAUGAAGAACUUGAGGCCUGAAGACCUGAAGAAUGCAGCAGAACAGUUGAAGCAUACCCAUCCAGAGGAGAUGGCUGAGAUUGGAGAGAAGAUGGCUAACUCAACGCCUAAAGAGAUAGCAGCUAUGCGUACACAUCUUGAUGCCCAAAUCACUUAUAAAUUGAAUGGAGCUUAGAUGUUGAAGAAACAGGGAAAUGAGCUUCAUAGCCAGGGAAAUUACAAUGAUGCCUUGCAGAAGUACUGUCUUAUCUUAGGCAAAAAAGAACCUAAAAGGCAUUCCAUCAUCGAAAGGUCAAUCACUAUAAUUGGCAUGCUCACUAAACUUGAUGUCAUGGUACUUGAAAACAAAGCAGUUUGAUGAAUGCAUAAAAGAAGGUUCUGAGGUAUUGGGAUAUGAUGUAAAGAAUGUGAAAGCAGUUUACCAUAAUUAAUUGUUACAUCAUAUAACAGGGAUCAUAGAAUAUAUAUAUUGAUUGUUGUAUGUUCAUUUGAUUUUGAUCAGCAGUAGCAGUUUUAUAAGCUUAGGACACACAAGUAAUCCCUGGAUUAAGUACAUUUCAAAGAGCUGUAACUAGUAGCCCAUAAUCUGGCUAAAUGGGCAGGAAGAACAGGUGUCAUGGAGAGCUGAACAAUGAACAUAUCCCUACAUGCAUAUUCUAAGACCACAAGGAGUUUGAGCAAGGUUUGCAACUGGAGUGGACACAUAAAACUUAUUCAGAUGGUAUGUGAUCCCUUAAGCUGAACUUUGAGGGGAAUAUCUGAGUAAAAGUUUAUAUGUGUACAUGUAGCCAAUCUUUGCAAUUGCGUAUUCCAAUUUAUUUAAAAUUGUUUCAGGUUUGUACUAUUCCAAUAGGAACAUUGGAUGCUACAAAGCUUCUAUGUUUGUAUGUUGUAUUAUUGGAUGGAUCUUGGUCUUAUUUCUAAUACAUGAUUUUAUUAUUGAUA